rnacentral:rRNA from 1 species
UGAAGCUGGAGUUGCUAGUAAUCGCGAAUCAGAAUGUCGCGGUGAAUACGUUCCCGGGCCUUGUACACACCGCCCGUCACACCAUGAGAGCUGGUAACACCCGAAGUCCGUGAGGUAACCGUAAGGAGCCAGCGGCCGAAGGUGGGAUUAGUGAUUGGGGUGAAGUCGUAACAAGGUAGCCGUAGGAGAACCUGCGGCUGGAUCACCUCCUUUCUAAGGAGA